UACGAAGGGGGCGAGCGUUGUUCGGAAUCACUGGGCGUAAAGGGCGCGUAGGCGGCCCUCCUAGUCGCGUGUGAAAGCCCCGGGCUCAACCUGGGAACGGCGCGCGAAACGGGGGGGCUGGAGUUCGGGAGAGGAGCGUGGAAUUCCCAGUGUAGAGGUGAAAUUCGUAGAUAUCAGGAGGAACACCUGUGGCGAAAGCGGCUCACUGGACCAUUACUGACGCUGAUGCUCGAAAGCUAGGGGAGCAAACAGG
rnacentral:rRNA from 1 species